rnacentral:pre_miRNA from 1 species
AAUAAACGAAUUUCUAUGUUUUUGGAUAGAAUUUUGACUCUUCGUCUUAUUUAAAAAAUUUAUAUGAUUAAUAUUUUUAUUGUUAAUACAUGAUAAAACAUGAAUAAUACUUUAUAUGCGACUAAUUUUUUUCAACUUUUUAAUAAAAUUUUCAAAUAAGAUAAAUGGUCAAAAUCUCAAGAGCUCGAAAACACAGAAAUCCUCUUUUU